rnacentral:rRNA from 1 species
GUGGGGAAUCUUGCGCAAUGGGCGACAGCCUGACGCAGCAACGCCGCGUGGGGGAAGACGGCCUUCGGGUUGUAAACCCCUUUCAGGAGGGACGAAGCUUCGGCAGCGAAUAGCUGUCCGGAGUGACGGUACCUCACGAAGAAGCCCCGGCUAACUACGUGCCAGCAGCCGCGGUAAUACGUAGGGGGCCAGCGUUGUCCGGAAUCAUUGGGCGUAAAGCGCGCGUAGGCGGCCAGACAAGUCCGGUGUGAAAGUCAAAGGCUCAACCUUUGAAUGCCGCUGGAAACUGUCUGGCUAGAGUCCGGAAGGGGCGAGUGGAAUUCCUGGUGUAGCGGUGAAAUGCGCAGAUAUCAGGAGGAACACCUAUGGCGAAGGCAGCUCGCUGGGACGGUACUGACGCUGAGGCGCGAAAGCGUGGGGAGCGAACAGGAUUAGAAACCCUGGUAGUCC